GUGUGGAUUGGAUUAUGGCAAGCCUAUUCCCCUAGGCCUCUCAUAAUGUCGCAUGUCAAAACAAACCAUGACCUUAGCCCAAUGCAUAGCCUCUGUGUCUAUAAAUUGCUAACACUGAUGUGAAUUGUAUAGGG
rnacentral:snoRNA from 14 species